rnacentral:rRNA from 1 species
UACGUAGGAGACGAGCGUUGUCCGGAGUUACUGGGCGUAAAGGGUGCGCAGGUGGCGGCGCGCGUGGGGGGUGAAAUCGCCCGGCUUAACUGGGCGGGGGCCUUCCAGACGGCGUGGCUUGAGCAGCGGAGGGGGACGUGGAAUUCCGGGUGGAGCGGUGAAAUGCGUAGAGAUCCGGAGGAACACCGACGGCGCAGGCAGCGUCCUGGCCGGUUGCUGACACUGAGGCACGAAAGCUGGGGGAGCAAACAGG